GUGGAUUAGAUACCCUGGUAGUCCACGCCGUAAACGAUGAUAACUAGCUGUCCGGGCACUUGGUGCUUGGGUGGCGCAGCUAACGCAUUAAGUUAUCCGCCUGGGGAGUACGGUCGCAAGAUUAAAACUCAAAGGAAUUGACGGGGGCCUGCACAAGCGGUGGAGCAUGUGGUUUAAUUCGAAGCAACGCGCAGAACCUUACCAGCGUUUGACAUGGUUAGUAUGGUUUCCAGAGAUGGAUUCCUUCAGUUCGGCUGGCUAACACACAGGUGCUGCAUGGCUGUCGACAACU
rnacentral:rRNA from 1 species